rnacentral:piRNA from 1 species
UGUCAACCAUCUAUGUUAAGGACUUGGGAGA